rnacentral:tRNA from 1 species
GGGCAUAUGGUUUAGUGGUAUAAUACUCCCUUAGCAUGCAGCAAGCCUCGUUCAGAGUGGGAGUGGUCCUGGGUUCGAUUCCCAGUUUGUCCA